GCCCGGCCGCCUUUCAUCCACAGGUCCAACUUCUGCCACAGGUCCAAAUCCUUUGCUGCUGGGCUACCUACUGCCAGUACAGUCUGAGUUGUUGCCUGACUGGUUCCAGAGAAGAAAAAAGAGCAACAAUAUGAGUUAAUCUUCAGAAAUAUACAUAGCAUUUUGAGAAGGAAGAGUGAAGAAGAGAAGGAUGAGGAGGAAGAGGAGGGGAAAGAAGAGGGUGAAAGAACUAGAUUGAAAUGUUUCUGUUUUUAAAUAAAUAGAGAACUAUCACUCU